rnacentral:lncRNA from 1 species
ACUUUGUAAGGAACCGCUGGCAGUCGGAGGUCUCACUCCCGCCUCCGCGUCUCCCUGGCCGGCCCCUCCUCCCACCCGCCGGAAGGCUCGGGGUGGGGGGCGCUCUCGGCCCACGCCGGGCAGGGUGGUCCCCCGCCUCCCCAAAAGGUGUGCCUGGCCGGGGCGCGGCGGCAAGUCGCUGCAGGCGCCGUCACCGCCCUAGGGGAGGGAGGACGCGCCCUCCUGGCGGUGGAGCCGGUCCCGCCACCGAGCAUGCCCAGAGGCUGCCGGGCGCGGCGCAGUCCGCAGUCCCGGUUUUCGCGGCGGCAGGCUGGAGCAGGAGGCAGGCUGGGAUGGGGUUGGAGGGGCCAAGAUAGGCCCAAAAGAAGGGGGCACUGGGCGUUAGGGGCGCAGGUCCAGCCAGUUAGCAAGGGCGGCGCGCUGGGAAGAGUGGUGUAUUUUCACGCCGACACCCGUAUUUUCUUGGCUUGCCUCAAGCCGUCUCUGCGUGACUCGUUACCCCGCCGAAGCCACCCGGCAUCCCAAAGCACGAGCCUGGCGCCUCCUAUUCCACGCGGAAGUGCCCGAGUGACCCUGUGAAGGACCUCCCUCCCCUCACACACGCACAUACACAAGCCCAUGUGGGAGCCCGAGUGACGUGUGCUCGGUGGUCAUGCACCAUCAUUUCCCUUCCACCUUCCUCCUCGCCGCUUCCUCUCCCUCCACCGCGCAGCUCCAGCCGCCUUGCCGCCGCCGCAUCCCCUUCCAAGUUCAGGCUGUGGGUGGAACCUGUUGCUUUAGCUCACGUUUCCCUUCCCCUCCGGGCUGCACGCUGAGGAUGACCUCAGCGAGGUGUGUGUAAGGGGAAUGGAGGGUAAGUGCGAGAAAGGACUCCUGCCUGGCAAGGAGACAGGGGAAGCGGGUAGGGGCGAAUGUUCUAAAGGGUUGGGCGAGCCACCAGAGACUCUUUCCGCCACCUCCAAUCAAGGGGACCUUAAAGGAGGGGAAGAGGUAGAUAUCAGGUGAGGGUGCCCUUGGCACAUCCGCUGCCUUUGCUUCCUUAGAUAUUUCAGGUACCUGAGUCAAACCUAUGCUGGCGUUUUCAAAAACGUACGGGCUGCCUGAGUCUGGCAGCUAAUCUCCUUUGGAAGAAGGUUCUAUUAAAUGAAAAAUACCAACACUUGGAAAAACAUAGAUGCAUCACAGAGCGCCUACUAAGGAUUUCCUGUGAACCAACCAUUCUGACCUGUAAGAACUGGGAAACUAGGAAAUGCCCUUUUCUCUGUGGUGAUUGUGAAAAAUAUUACUUAAUUUUAUAACAAAUCGGAGAGAACCAAUUUCUCUGAACUUCCAGAUUUGGGCCUGUUGCUAAUUGUUCCCAGUGAAUUCUAGCCUGGACCAAAUGAAUUCCCUGGCGUGGCACAGUCCAGAUGGAAGAAGAGGGGAAUGCAUGGGAUUCCUAAGUAGGGAGUGGCUGCCACCCUGAGGAUUCUUCUAAGCCCUAGUGGGAUGUGGUGCUGAGAUCCUUUUUGAAGUGAUUUCUGUGAGGCACGACUCUCCUGUGCUAGGUAGACCUGAGCCAGGGAAGGUAAUCUAACCUUUCAACUCCUCUGGAAGCAGCAAUCUUAGGAAUAACUGGAAAAGGGGCCUUCCGGUCUGGCCAGCUGUUUUGUAAAACGGUACUGAUGAUUAUUUAAAUUGUCUUUUAUGGUAACAUCUGUAAACAGCCUGUCUUGUGCUCCAAAUACGGUUUGAUUUUGAGAUUGCUGUGGAGCCCUGCCUGCCACUCCAGCGGGGUGGAGGUGGCCCUGUGAGUAGGAAGAUGUAAGUAGGAAACAUUUGGUGUGCUGGGAAUUAGAUAGCUGUUUUUCAGUUCACCAUAUGACAUGGCAUGGCUUAGAUCACAAAAAGCUCCCUGCUCUGUGGCAGGACACAGGUAGACAGAUAAGUACUGAUCACCUGGGGUGAUGAGAGAGAGUUGUGGUUUCAUUCCAAGUUUUGAAUAUUAGGACCUCCUCAGCCACCCACCCAGACUCCCUCUGAGCUCUGGGCUCAUCCCCCUGUUGCCCAGAUGGUCCAUGUUCAGGGAAUGCAAAAUAAGGCCUAAGAAAAAUGUUUGGCAAAGUAAGUCUAGUGCCAAAAAUGCAUGGCAUUUCAAAGCCAAAUAUAAACAUCUUUGAAUUACCUGUACUUUUAAAUUAUUUUCCGACCAGAUAAUUUCUGGAUCAGAUGGGAAAGUACCAGGUUUCCCUUCUUUUCUCUUCAUGCAAGGUGCCUGGCUAGCCCAGUUUCCUUUCUGUUUCCAGCCUUCCAUCUCCUGCCAGGAACCCUCCCACUUUGGAACAGGAAGCCCUGCCAACUCCUAGGCCCAGCAACAGCCUGCAGAUAUGUCCAGCAGGAUAGGGAGAUGAUUUGCAAAGUGAUUGAAAGAUUCUGUCUUCCUGUUUACAGGGACAUUUUUUCAAGUUAGGAGCUUGGAGCUUUCAGACUUAGAUUUGUCUCUUGAAACCUUUGUAAAUUAGACAUCAGAAGUGUGGGAUAAGCACCUUUGUGCUCUGGCUCCAGCACCUUUCCCCAUCAAUCAACAAGUCCUGUCAAUUCUACGUAAGUACAAGAUCCCUCUCAAAUACACACUGCCCCCACCCCAGUCUAGGCCGCUGUGUCCUGAAAUUACUAAAGUUUCCCAACUGAUUCCUGCCCAUUCUCUUCAUGCAGCCAGAGUGGCCUUACUAAAAUGCAAAUCUGAACAAGUUUCUCCCUUGCUUCAUUAACUACUCCCCUACCCACCCAGGUCUACUCACUGCUCUUAAAGGAACUGUUUCUCCUCCUCCACCCCACUUCUUUUGGUAAAUUUUUACUCAUCCUUCAAGUCUCAGCUUAAAUGUUACUUCCUCAGGGAAGGCUUGCCUGAUUCUCUGUACCUGCCCUUACUGGGUCGGGUGACAUUCGCACGUGCCCGUGACACUCACUGCAUUUAUCUUAUGCACUGUAUUGAGGUUGCUGUUUAAUUGCUAAUCUUCUCACUAGACUCAUAAGAAAUACUUUUAUAUCAAGACAUAGGCCAAACAUUCAUAUAAAAAUAUAUGCAAGGGAAAGAAAGUUUCAUAAAACUCUUAUUUUGUAAAAUCAUAUUCGAAUUCAUGUAAAACUAAAUCUGGUCACACCUUACUGCAUUGACUUCCCAACCCUUAGAUGGGUCAGGGCUUCUAGUGUGAAAAAAAUACUCUAAAUUCCAUGAAGUGGGGGACAAUUUCCCUCAUUCACGGUAAUUGGAAUGGAAUAGGAGCUUAACAGGUAUUUGUUGCUGGAAUUAUUAACGAUAAUAUCUAAUUCAUAUAAUCCUCGAUCCUAUGAAGAAACUACUAUUAUCCCCACUUACAGAUGAGGAGGCUGAAGACAGUGAGGUUAAGUAACUUGCCAAGUGUCAAAAAGCUGGUAAGGUAGAUGGCAGAGCCAGGAUUUGAACCUGAGUAGUUUGCAUUCAGAAUUCUUGUCCUAGUCACUCAGCUUAGUAUCCUUUGGUCAAGGUGCAUGUGAAUGAAUUUACCAAGCAAAAAUGUCAGAAAGGGUCUCCUUGCAGCUACUUCAAACUAGAUCUCAGUCUGCCCUGCAGAGGCUCCUUGGGCAGUAUUUAUGUCUGUGCAGUGAAGAAGGCAUCUGGCAAGAACAGCUGUUCCCCUUUGCUCACAUGUACUCAACCUCCUAAACCACCAAGUCUAGCAAUAUUUAGCAAGUAGGGAGAUUUAAUUGUAUAAAGGAAGAGUAUAGAUACUUCCAAAAAUGCAAUUUCACAUUGUUAUGAACUAUGUGCUGUAUAUCCCCCCCACCCCCCUGCAAAACAAAUCCUUUAAAAAGAAAGCCACCAUGAGACUGGGGUAUUUAUUUUGUCAUCAGUAGGAAACUGUCUAGAUUAAUACUUAAAGAUAGGGGUAAGAAGAUCAUGUUCCUCAGGGGUCAGUGCUAUUUAUAGGAUUUUAAUCUGUAAAGGCAACAUUUGAGAAAGGACAUGAUUGAAAUAUUUGAAUCAAAGAGUAUGAAUAGACAGGAAAAUAUUUAUUUGCAGAAUUUCCAAACUAAUUCUUAUAUUAUUAGCCCCGAUGCUGAACCUUAAGUCGUGGCAUUUAGAGUAAUAAAGAAAUGGCUGGCAAAGGGUUUGUAUUUCAUCUUUAUUACAUGAAUUACAUGCAGGUCACAUGCAAUACACAGAUGCUCUCCUAUUUAAUCACCUGAAUAUAACUACAUGGAGAUAUUUAACAGCCCUGUGGGGUAAAGGGUCCUGGAUACAGAACAUCUGGGGUUUGUUUCUGGCCCUAUCUCUAACCAACUUUAUGACCACAGAUUCCUCAUGAAGGAGCCCAGACACUUGAUCACAGUGUUUGGCAAAUAGUAACAAUUAAUUAAAUGAAUAAAUAAUGAGUGAACUAAAAAGCUACUUCCAGCUUGAAGACUAUGGAUUUCAUUCUAGAAACAAUGAGAAAUAUAGUAUAAAAAUGUCUCCGAAUCUUUUCAUCACCUUCCUUGUUGGGUGAUACAAAGUUGGUUCCUCCACUAAUUAAAAAUCCAGAUCUAUCUCUAUUAGACAGGUUGGCCUUCUUGGAUGCAUGGUAGCUCUCUUUUAUUUCUGUAGAGCCAAUGGGUUAAUCUUAACUUACUAGUCUAUACGUGUAGAUACUUUGGAGAUGGAUUCUAUGUACACCUAAAAUUAUUUUCUUCUCACUUUCACUUACAGAGCUAUAUUUUAAUGAAAAUAUGUCCUUUAAAAAAUUAACAUAUUAAAUGUUUUUAUUUUCUAGCAAACCACGAGAUUAUAUUUGUUUUCUACAUUUUCCUCAAUUAAAAAAAUGAAAUGGCAAAAUAUAGGCAAAAUGGCACUUAAAAGAUAUAUCCAACAACCUAUUUUCCAAACUUGAAACCAGGACACCUGGCUUGACAAACACUACAGUGCUUACAGAAAGUAGGUGAAUGUAUGUUUGAAAUGAAGAUUAUCCUGAAUGAUCUGUAGAUUGGCAAAUGAAGCAACCCUAGCUGCAGCAGAGGGAUGGUGUCUUUAUCAGAGAAAAGUCACACAGAGGGUGUCAGUCAGGACCUCAGCAUGUGGUUGCACAGAUUGUGCCCUGUAUAGUGCCAGGAUUGUGAACUAUACAACAGGUCUCCUCCAGGAGGGACCAUUUGGCACCAUUCACAUAGAUGGCAAUGUGAAUGGUGCCCUCUGGAGUUGUGCAGUGUACAAUCUGCACAACAGUACACAGAAUCUCUGCAAGAAUUCCAUUGGUAGGAAAUGUGCUCUCUUGACAGGAUUGGAAGAGGCAGCCUGCUGUUCUUUUUAAAAUAAAGUCAUUCCUCAGAUUAGAUGGCAAUGACAAAAAUUCAACCAAAAUCUUGUUUUUUUCUUUUUCCAGAAGGUUUCUGCCACUAUAUUCUACUUUCCUUAAGUUGCUAGCAAUUCUCAAAAAUGCAAGUCUGGGCCACGUGUGGUGGCUCACGCCUGUAAUCCCAGCACUUUGGGAGGCUGAGGCGGGCGGAUCACAAGGUCAGGAGUUCGAGACCAGCCUGGCCAACAUAGUGAAACACCGCCUCUACUAAAAAUACAAAAAUUAGCCAGGCAUGGUGGCGGGCACCUAUAAUCCCAGCUACUUGGGAGGCUGAGGCAGGAGAAUUGCUUGAACCCAGCAGGUGGAGUUUGCAGUGAGCCAAGAUUGCGCCACUGCAUUCCAGCCUGGGUGACAGAGCAAGACUCUGUCUUGGAAAAAAAAAAAUGUAAGUCUGUAAGUAACUCUGAACUUACUUUUUGAGCUUCAUUGAAGAGAAUAAAUUGAACAAAAGGGCAUUUAGAAAAAGGUGGGGAAGUUUGUAGACAACUGCAAGGGUCAGGGAAGCAUUAUAAGUCAUAGGCAUGGAAGCUCAUGUAUACAUGACUCUAAUAUAAGAUGAAAUGUCUCCAAAACCGCAUGCCUUCUACUUUAAAGUGUUUAGCUUAUCAAAGAGGAACAUUUUCACAAGAUACUCUAGGAAUUUAAAACUGUUUUGGUCAUGUCUUGACAUAAUUCUGGAAACCUUAUAACGUCAGAAAAUAGCAUUGUCAGUGCCACACAGCAGGAGGCAUGGAGGUAGCUUGGUGGGACAGAGGAGAACUCUUCAGGAUACUUGGCUCUGCCUCUGACUAGCUCUGUGUUUAUGGGCAAGACCAUCCCUGCAGCUAGCUCUCUGGGCCACUGGCUUCCUCACGAAAGCAGAGUUGUAUGAAAUUGUCUGAGCCUUAGAAACUGCCAGAAUUUCAUGGGCUGUAACUUAGGUGCCUCCAGGGGCCAGGCGGGUGAGGUAAAUGAGUGAAGGGGUCACCACCGGUGACAGGGAGUUCCAGGUCUGAGUCAUUAAAGUCACUAAACCACACAGCACAAAGGCAUCUGAUAUGGUUUAGCUCUGUGUCCCCACCCAAGUCUCAUCUUGUAGCUCCCAUAAGUCCCAUGUGUUGUGGGAGGGACCUGAUGGGAGAUGAUUGAAUCAUGGGGGCAGCUCUUUUCUGUGCUAUUCUGGUGAUAGUGAAUAGGUCUCAUGAGAUCUGAUGGUUUUAAAAAUGGGAGUUUCUCUGCACAAGGUCUCUUUUUGCCUGCUGGCAUCCACACAAUAUGUGACUUGCUUCUCCUCACCUUCCACCAUGAUUGUGAGGCCUCCCCAGCCAUAUGGAACUAUAGGUCCAAUAAACCUCUUUCUUUUGUAAAUUGCCCAGUCUUGGGUAUGUCUUUAUCAGCAGCAUGAAAACAGACUAAUACAGUAAAUUUGUACCAGUAGAGUGGGGUGCUACUGAAAAGAUACCAGAAAAUGUGGAAGGGACUUUGGAACUAGGGAACAGGCAGAGGUUAGAACAGUUUGGAGGGCUCAGAAGAAGACAGGAAAAUGUGGAAAAGUUUGGAACUUCCUAGAGACUUGUUGAAUGGCUUUGCCAAAAAUGCUGAUAGUGAUAUGGACAUUAAGUCAGGCUGACUGAAGUGGUCUCAGAUGGAGAUGAGGAACUUGUUGGGAACUGGAGCAAAGGUGACUCUUGUUGUUUUAGCAAAAAGACUGGUGGCAUUUUGCCCCUGCCCUAGAGAUCUGUGGAACUUUGAACUUGAGAGAGAUGAUCUAGGGUAUCUGGCAGAAGAAAUGUUAAGCAACCAAGCAUUCCAAAGGUGACUUAGGUGCUGUUAAAAGCAUUACGUUUUAAAAGGGAAACAGACCAUAAAAGUUUGGAAAAUUUGUAGCCUGACAAUGCAGUAGAAAAGGAAAAACCCAUUUUCUGAGGAGAAAUUCAAGCUGGCUGCAGAAAUUUGCAUAAGUAACAAGGAGCUGAAUGUUAAUCCCCAAGACAAUGGGGAAAAUGUCUCUAGGGCAUGUCAUAGGUCUUCAUAGCAGCCCCUCCCGUCAUAGACCUGCAAGCCUAGGGGGUAAAAGUGGUUUUGUGGGCCGUGGGCCAGGCCCAGGGUCCCUGUGCUUUGUGCAGCCUAGAGACUUGGUGCCCUAUGUCCCAGCCGCUCCAGCCAUGUCUGAAAAGGGCCAACAUAGAGCUCAGGCUGUGUCUUCAGAGGGUGCAAGCCCCAAGCCUUGGCAGCUUCCACGUGGUGUUGAGCCUGUGAGUGCAUAGAUGUCAAGAACUGGGGUUUGGGAACCUCCACCUAGAUUUUGAAAGAUGUAUGGAAAUGCCUGGAUGCCCAGGCAGAAGUUUGCUGCAAGGGUGGGGCCCUCAUGGAGAAUCUCUGCUAUGGCAGUGUGGAAGGGAAAUGUGGGGUCAGAGCCCCCAAACAGAGCCCCUACUGAGGUACUGUCUAGUAGAGCUGUGAGAAGAGGACCACCAUCUUCCAGACCCCAGAAUGGUAGAUCCACCAACAGCUUGCACUGUGCACCUGGAAAAGCCACAGACACUCAACAACAGCCCGUGAAAGCAGCCGGGAGGGAGGCUGCAUCCUGCAAAGCCACAGAAGCAGAGCUGCCCAGGACCAUGGGAACCCACCUCUUGCAUCAGUGUGACCUGGAUAGGAGACAUAGAGUCAAAGGAAAUAAUUUUGGAGCUUUAAGAUUUGACUUCCCUGCUGGAUUUCAGACUUGAAUGGGGCCUGUAGACCCUUUGUUUUGGCCAAUGUGUCCCAUUUGGAAUGGCUGUAUUUACCCAAUGCCUGUACCCCCAUUGUAUUUAGGAAAUAACUAACUUGCUUUUGAUUUUACAGGCUCAUAGGUGGAAGGGACUUGCCUUAUCUCAGAUGAGACUUGGACUGUGGACUUAUGAGUUAAUGCUGAAAUGAGUUGAGACUUUGGGGGACUGUUGGGAAGGCAUGAUUCGUUUUCAAAUGUGAAGAUACAAGAUUUGGGAGGGGCCAGGGGCAGAAUGAUAUUGUUUGGUUCUGUGUCCCCACCCAAGUCUCAUCUUGUAGCUUCCAUAAUUCCCAUGUGUUGUGGGAGGUACCCAGUGGGAGGUGAUUGAAUCAUGGGGGCAGGUCUUUCCCAUGCUGUUCUCAUGAUAGUGAAUGGGUCUCACAAGAUCUGAUGGUUUCAAAAACAGGAGUUUCUCUGCACAAGCUCUCUUUUUGCCUGCUGCCAUCCAUAUAAGAUGUGACUUGCUCCUCCUUCCCUGCUGCCAUGAUUGCGAGGUAUCCCCAGCCAUGUGGAACUGUAAGUCCAAUAAACCUCUUUCUUUCUUUCUUUUUUUUUGAGAGGGAGUCUUGCUCUGUUGCCCAGGCUGGAGUCCAGUGGCGUGAUGUUGGCUCACUGCAAGCUCCGCCUCCCAGGUUCUUGCCAUUCUCCUGCCUCAGCCUCCCGAGUAGCUGGGACUACAGGUGCCUGCCGCCACGCCUGGCUAAUUUUUUGUAUUUUUAGUAGAGACGGGGUUUCACUGUGUUAGCCAGGAUGGUCUCGAUCUCCUGACCUUGUGAUCCACCCACUCAGGCCUCCCAAAGUGCUGGGAUUACAGGCGUGAGCCACCGCACCCGGCCAGCCUCUUUCUUUUGUAAAUUGCGCAUCUCCGGUAUGUCUUUGUCAGCAGUGUGAAAACGGACUAAUACAGCAUCCAAAUUAAAAAUCGGAAUGAAAAGCAGGUUUCAUCCUCAAUUCAUCCCUAGAUCACCACUUGGACCCCAGCUCUUAGCUCCAGAUUUCCAGAGUUCCAAGUCUACAUGAACAUGAAAGAGUCAGGGAGACUGUACAUCUUGGCUUGGGCAGGAUGGUCCUGCUUUAUACUUGUUGUCCUGGCAUAAUUAUUAAUGGCACCCUCCUUCACUCUCAAAAGUGUCCUAGUUUACAUGAGAAGUCUUAGAGCCAUCCAAAGUCAGGGGGAAUCAGUGACUAAACACAAACUUUUAGGAGCAAGUUCAUUUAUUCAAGUUUGUGCAAGCCUUCAGAUGAAGCUAAGUAGAUUUGGCAUUGUUUUGUAAGUAUAAAGAUAUUUAAAUAAACUUCCAAAAUAUCCCAACAGAACGGUUCAAUAAAAGCAGUAUGUCAUGAAUUUUAAAAUCAUAGACAAUAUAGGAAAGGCUAUCAAUAUGUGAAAAAUUUUGAAAUUCACUAAUAAUCAAGAAAAAUUUCAAUAACAAUGAGGUAACAUUUUGCCUACCAGAGUAUUUAAAAAUUAUUUAAAACUCUAAUACCAGGUGUCAGGAUAGGUGUGAUCAAAGGAACUCUCAUAUACCGCUGAUAGGUUUAUAAAUUGACUGAUACAAACUUUCUGGAAUGAUAUUUGA